ACUCGAAAAGCUAUGUUAUGGGCACGUUUGUUGGAA
rnacentral:sRNA from 1 species